CCUAUUUCAUUAAUAGAGAAGAAGAGUACAACCGGCUAGUCGGAAAGAAAUAAAAGAGUUAUUCUCAUUGUACAAGAGACGCUAGAUCUUUGGCUCUUGCUAAGUCCCAAGCUGCCACCUCACUUUUGAUUUUGACCAUCAGUUCCGGCAUCGACGUUUCUCGCUAUCUAAAAACUCUCACGUUUCGCUUAUUCCAGACCUCCCAGAUUACCAAUAACGAAUUAGACACCAGCCGGAAUCUCUGUCACCAAAACGGGGCUUAAAUACUCUCCAAAUGGUGGGCAAGGAUGGAUAUCGUUGAAAAAAGGAUUAAACUAUGCAGUCUGGUUGUACAAACUCCAAUCAAAAUCGCCAGCGCCACGGGCCCACGUCUUUUGCAGGCUUCCGGCUGAGGCUGGCUGGCUCUGCUGGCUGACCGGC
rnacentral:lncRNA from 1 species